UAUGGAUGCAGCUGGAGGCCAUUAUCCUAAGAAAUUAAUGCAGGAACAGAAAACCAAAUACUGCAUGUUCUCCCUUAUAAGUGGCAGCUAAACGCUGAGUAUACAUGGACACAAAGAAGGAUAGACACCAGAGCCUACUUGAAGGGGGAGUAUGGGAGGAAGGUGAGAAUUGAAAAACUGCAUUUAUUCUCACUACCUGAGUGACAAAAUAAUUUGUACACCAACCCCCGUAACACACAAUUUACCUAUGUUGCAAAUAUGCACAUGCAUCCCCUUAACCUUAAAUAAAAGUUGGAAGGAAAAAAAUGUGGGAUGCAAUGAAAGCAAUGCCUAGAGGCAAAUUACAGCAAUUCCAUAUAUUAGAAAAGAAGAGAGAUCUAAAAUCAAUAAUCUAAAUUUCUACCUUAGACACUAGAAAAAAAGAUCAAAUGAAAUAUAGAGUAAGCAGAAGAAAAAAAUACUAUUUAGAGCAUAAAUCAAUGUAAUUGCAAACAGAAGAACUACAAAAUCUAAAAAAAAAUCAAAACCUGGUUCUUUGAAAAGGUCAGUGACAGUUAUAAACCUCUGGUCUGGCAAACCAAGAAAACAAGAGAGAAAA
rnacentral:lncRNA from 1 species